rfam:Capsicum annuum cultivar Zunla-1 chromosome 12, whole genome shotgun sequence
AAUGAUUGGGACAAAGGGCAGUGAUCCCGCGAGGGUGAGCUAACCCCAAAUACCCGUCCUCAAUUCAGAUUGCAGGCUGCAACUCACCUGCAUGAAG